CACGUAGGGCGCAAGCGUUGUCCGGAAUUAUUGGGCGUAAAGAGCUCGUAGGCGGUCUGUUGCGUCCGCUGUGAAAACUCGGGGCUUAACCCCGAGCCUGCAGUGGAUACGGGCAGACUAGAGGUAGGUAGGGGAGAAUGGAAUUCCCGGUGUAGCGGUGAAAUGCGCAGAUAUCGGGAGGAACACCGGUGGCGAAGGCGGGUUUCUGGACAGUUCCUGACGCUGAGGCACGAAGGUCAGGGGAGCAAACGGG
rnacentral:rRNA from 1 species